UUUUUCUGUCUCUCGGCGUACGUUUUAUUGUUGUGUAUUAGAAAAAUAUUAUAUCAUAUUAUUAUACUGCGCACACACCUUUUCAUAUAAUAUUAUUGUGUGCACUGUGUGUACAUUCAUUCGUGUACCUAAGAGUAUGUUUGAGUGUGUGUGAGUAUGUCAGGACGGCCAUACGCGUGUAGACUGUAGAUGGUAUUAUUGUAUAUGUGUGUCACUGGCACGACCCGCGGAUAAAGGAUAUAAUAAAAAUGUCACGGAAAAGAAUAACAGUAUGUAUAUGUGUAAUGUGUAUAUGGCGUGCAACGGGGUCGAAGAGUACCGUAAAUUUUUUACCAGCGCUCCCGACAGUCGUCUACACCGCGCACGCGCGGCACAUCUGCGAUACAUGGAUAGACACUUAACCCGAUGAGCUUUUCCUCAUAAAUAUAGACUCGUACAGAUACCUAACGUAAGAAGUAUAAAAAAGUAAGUACAAAUAUUAAUAAUUGCGGUCUUUCUUGUUGAGGCCGAACCAUUAUAGCUCAAAACUCGUUUUACAUGGAGCUCGUCUUCACUCUUCAAUAAUUUUGGGCACAUGACGUUGCUAUCUGGGGUCCUGCAAAGUCCUUAAAUUAAAAGAACUAUUCAAGCUUUCCUCAGAACAUCUGCCUUCUCAUCACCGACGGAGCGUCCUGGCAUGUACCAAUAUAAUAAUUAUAAGUUUUUACAAACGCUUUUAAGUAAAACUUUGUUUAAAUUCCAGUCAACAAAUUUCACGGAAGUUAUCUAUAAAGAAAGUUUCCAUGCAGUGAUUCCAUCCAGAAGACUCAAAUAUCAUAAUGAUCUGAUUAUCUACUUAAAUAAUCAAAUCGUCAACUCUAUGCUGGUCUUCAGCUGCGAGAUUUUCUUUUGAUCCAUUCACAGCGGUAUCCUUGAAAAUAAACUACCGCUACUAUUGUUGUGUUAUAUUUGUAUUUUUUUUAAAUACAACUUAAGAGCCUGUUUAUUUCAUAAAAAUAAAAUUGUAAUUUAAAUUGGA